rnacentral:lncRNA from 1 species
GAACAUACGAUGUGAAACAAACAUCAAUAGAAGCACCUGAGCGUUAACUAUCCUUUCCCUCCCUGACAUUCCAUCCAUCUUUUUUUUCAGGGGAUGGGGGUGGUGGGGGUUGGUCGUUGAACAGCUUGGGGAAUAAUCAACUCCACAGUUUCUAGUUCCACCCUCAAAAGUGAAAAGUGAGGUAAUAAAAAACUAUUCAACCUGGAUAAAUCGAAUAACAUCCAAUAUCAGAUGAGGCAAAAAUGUCCUUUGCCAGUUUACCCGAAAGAUAACAAAAAACCUUCAUAUAUAGGUGUCAUUUCCAUAGAAGACAACUACAAAACUCCUGCCUCAACAUGCACCAAAAUGCCGCUAAUAGAUCAGUAGUUGCCUGAAAGAAAUCAGGUAGUAGCUUCUAUGCAAAAAAGUCUUAGUGGGGCGUCCCUUACCCUUAUACCUUAUACAUGAAUAGGCUUCAAGAAUAAAAAAUGGUUCUCCAUACCUGGACUCUUGUAACUAUGAUUAUUAUUCUCACAAGGCCCUAUAUAGCUGCCCAUAGCGAAGGGGUGUUUUAACGUGCCUAAUGCUAUGAUAUCGAUUUACAGAAGAAAAAUGCAAACGCCUAAUAAAAGGCAUGUCACCAGGCACAUCAUAAUGCAACUUGCAAAGAUGAAAUCAGACAGCUAAUAACAAACAAACCAUUACCGGAUUGCAUUACAAAGUCUCAAUUACGAGCCUGUGAUAUAAUAGUUCAAAAUUAACAGAUAUACAUUUAACUGUACAGUUCCACUCUGGUACAAUCUAAUCUUUAGCUAUCAAAAAAGGAGACACUGACAAUUCCAUAAUAAGUGAAGCCAAUUUUAGCCGCAUAAGCUGUUUAACCCAAUGUCAGCUCCACAUAUAACUCUAGCACUAUUGCCACCAUCCAUCCCACAAACAAACCAUAAAUGGCAUAGUGAUCAAAUCCUGUCCAGUUGAGCUGUCAUGGCGCUGAUCUCACACCCAGCAGAAUCAAUAACAGAGGAGGAAAAGAAGAAUGUAGAAUUAAAGAUCGAUAAGAGCCAAAUCCUGGAACACUCAACCCAAUGACUUGCAAUUAACGACAAGUGAGACUAAUUGGUGAUAAUAAAAGAGAAAAAACAGGCGCCUCCCCACAGAACAAGUCGCAGUAAUGAACUUAGGUAAUUCUGAUUUUUCGACAGAAAAUAUUUGAUAACUGCAAUCCGAUAAGCAACAGACAUUAACUGAACCUCCAUUCCUCUCGAAGAACCCCCAAUCAACAGCUUAUGGGAAAAAAACUGAAGACAGGUCUUACAGCAACAGAUAUGCCAGAACCAAUACCCAGAAUCAAAUGCAGAACAUUAUAAUCAUAACAUAUUCACAUUUCAUUGGCUGUUAUGCUAAUUCAUUUUUUUUAAAAAAAAGAGAGGAUGUGUCCCCCUUCAGUUUUAAGCAAAUCUGGACUCAAAAUGACAAAUUAUAGCAACAAAGAUGUAAAAAUUCAUAGAAGUCAACCUUUCAGAUAAUGCAUCCAACACAUAAACAACGUGCCCCAACAGAACAAUCAUGCGAGUCAGGAAAGUGAAUAAAUUAAAAGCAAUAAGACAAAAGCUAAAGCAGCAAACUUUAGUUAAUAUACCCGCCCAGCACAUCUCAGAUUCACCAUUAGCUUAUCCCAUAAUCAAAUCCAUCAAUCAACCAAUUCAACAAUACACUAAUUGUCUAUUAUCCAACUCCCAAAUCCACCAACAAAAUAAAUAAAAUCAAAACAACACUAAUUGAGAUCCAUUCUACGAAUCAUCUAUAUCUAUGCCAGUGCAAUGGGACUCCUUUCAUUACAGCAUUCAAUAAUUUGUCUAUUGAGACGAAUCAAAUUGCUAGAAAUUGAAUAGAAAAUAAAAUCCAAUAAAAGUACCAAAAUUGAAGGUUCUUACCGGAUAAAUCAAUUGAAGAUUGGUGGAGAGAGAGAAUGUGUUAAAGAGAGAAAAUGAGAGGUAGGGUUUUCAUGUAGAUGAGAUCGAAAGUGCAUGCGGUCAUUUCCAGUUAUUCUCAAACAAAUUUU